GUGGAGGCCAGCCGUCAACCAAUCUACAGGUUUGACCUCGGAUCAGUAGGGUACCCGCUGACUAAGCAUAUCAAUAA
rnacentral:rRNA from 1 species